rnacentral:rRNA from 1 species
GAUGAACCCCUCCACGCAGGCUUAACACAUGCAAGUCGAGGGGCAGCAUGGUCUUAGCUUGCUAAGGCCGAUGGCGACCGGCGCACGGGUGAGUAACACGUAUCCAACCUGCCGUCUACUCUUGGACAGCCUUCUGAAAGGAAGAUUAAUACAAGAUGGCAUCAUGAGUCCACAUGUUCACAUGAUUAAAGGUAUUCCGGUAGACGAUGGGGAUGCGUUCCAUUAGAUAGUAGGCGGGGUAACGGCCCACCUAGUCUUCGAUGGAUAGGGGUUCUGAGAGGAAGGUCCCCCACAUUGGAACUGAGACACGGUCCAAACUCCUACGGGAGGCAGCAGUGAGGAAUAUUGGUCAAUGGGCGAGAGCCUGAACCAGCCAAGUAGCGUGAAGGAUGACUGCCCUAUGGGUUGUAAACUUCUUUUAUAAAGGAAUAAAGUCGGGUAUGCAUACCCGUUUGCAUGUACUUUAUGAAUAAGGAUCGGCUAACUCCGUGCCAGCAGCCGCGGUAAUACGGAGGAUCCGAGCGUUAUCCGGAUUUAUUGGGUUUAAAGGGAGCGUAGAUGGAUGUUUAAGUCAGUUGUGAAAGUUUGCGGCUCAACCGUAAAAUUGCAGUUGAUACUGGAUAUCUUGAGUGCAGUUGAGGCAGGCGGAAUUCGUGGUGUAGCGGUGAAAUGCUUAGAUAUCACGAAGAACUCCGAUUGCGAAGGCAGCCUGCUAAGCUGCAACUGACAUUGAGGCUCGAAAGUGUGGGUAUCAAACAGGAUUAGAUACCCUGGUAGUCCACACGGUAAACGAUGAAUACUCGCUGUUUGCGAUAUACAGCAAGCGGCCAAGCGAAAGCGUUAAGUAUUCCACCUGGGUAGUACGCCGGCAACGGUGAAACUCAAAGGAAUUGACGGGGGCCCGCACAAGCGGAGGAACAUGUGGUUUAAUUCGAUGAUACGCGAGGAACCUUACCCGGGCUUAAAUUGCAGAUGAAUUACGGUGAAAGCCGUAAGCCGCAAGGCAUCUGUGAAGGUGCUGCAUGGUUGUCGUCAGCUCGUGCCGUGAGGUGUCGGCUUAAGUGCCAUAACGAGCGCAACCCUUGUUGUCAGUUACUAACAGGUCAUGCUGAGGACUCUGACAAGACUGCCAUCGUAAGAUGUGAGGAAGGUGGGGAUGACGUCAAAUCAGCACGGCCCUUACGUCCGGGGCUACACACGUGUUACAAUGGGGGGUACAGAGGGCCGCUACCACGCGAGUGGAUGCCAAUCCCAAAAACCUCUCUCAGUUCGGACUGGAGUCUGCAACCCGACUCCACGAAGCUGGAUUCGCUAGUAAUCGCGCAUCAGCCACGGCGCGGUGAAUACGUUCCCGGGCCUUGUACACACCGCCCGUCAAGCCAUGGGAGCCGGGGGUACCUGAAGUGCGUAACCGCGAGGAGCGCCCUAGGGUAAAACUGGUGACUGGGGCU